rnacentral:rRNA from 1 species
AUUGAACGCUGGCGGCAUGCCUUACACAUGCAAGUCGAACGGUAACAGGCCGCAAGGUGCUGACGAGUGGCGAACGGGUGAGUAAUGCAUCGGAACGUGCCCAGUAGUGGGGGAUAGCCCGGCGAAAGCCGGAUUAAUACCGCAUACGACCUGAGGGUGAAAGGGGGGGAUCGCAAGACCUCUCGCUAUUGGAGCGGCCGAUGUCAGAUUAGCUAGUUGGUGGGGUAAAGGACUACCAAGGCAACGAUCUGUAGUUGGUCUGAGAGGACGACCAGCCACACUGGGACUGAGACACGGCCCAGACUCCUACGGGAGGCAGCAGUGGGGAAUUUUGGACAAUGGGCGCAAGCCUGAUCCAGCAAUGCCGCGUGCAGGAAGAAGGCCUUCGGGUUGUAAACUGCUUUUGUCAGGGAAGAAAUCUUCUGGGUUAAUACCUCGGGAGGAUGACGGUACCUGAAGAAUAAGCACCGGCUAACUACGUGCCAGCAGCCGCCGUAAUAC